rnacentral:tRNA from 1 species
AGUUUUAUAGUUUAAAAAAAACAUUAAAUUGCAAAUUUAAAAAUAAAUUUUAUUUUAAAACUU